GACGAACGCUGGCGGCGUGCUUAACACAUGCAAGUCGAACGGAAAGGCCCUGCUUUUGUGGGGUGCUCGAGUGGCGAACGGGUGAGUAACACGGGAGUAACCUUCCCUUUACUUUGGGAUAUCUUCAGGAAACUGGGGCUAAUACCGGAUAGGAGCUCCUGCUGCAUGGUGGGGGUUGGACAGUUUCGGCGGAAGGGGAUAGACUGUCGGCUUAUCAGCUUGUUGGUGGGGUAGUGGCUUACCAAGGCAUUGACGGGUAGCCGGCCUGGGAGGGUGAUCAGGGACAUGGGGACUAAGAGACGCAGCAGACGGGAACGGGAGACAGUGGUCGAGAGUAUUAUACAGCGGGGGCGAGCGUGAUAAAGAAGCGCCGGGUGCGGAAUGACGGCCUUGGGGGGGGAAACCGCAUUCACCUGAGACGAAGCGGGAGUGACGGUAAUGGGUGAAGAAGCACCGGCUAACUACGUG
rnacentral:rRNA from 1 species